CUACCUUUCAUAAUAAGCCAAAUACACACCCAGCAACCAAUUAGAGAUAUACACUCCCUGUGAAUCUAAUGCACAAGACUUAAUUUUGUAGCAAGAAGCCAAUAAGCAAAGAACACAACACCAAAGAUGCUCCUGCAUAAUGGAGAAAGUUGUAAGAAUGAAAUUAAAAAAUUCUUGAAAAUAAAGAAGAUUGUUUAAGUUUUCUAGGAUUAGAGCCGUCAAUGAUGAGUAUUAUGCCUUAGAUUAAUCGCCCUUCUAUUAAGACUGGAAAAUGUUUUGUCUAACACCCGAACACUUCGUAGACUCCUUAAAAGAAAAAUAAAUGGAGAAACAAUGAUGUAAUAAGUUUGAUAGAUUUGUGAUGUAAUAUGAAGACAAAGAUGGAGAUAAACUAAUUGAAUGUGCGAAAAAUUAAGAUGUGUAUGUAUCAUUAUUGAUUAAGAUUAAACCUUUGUUUUUCUCUGAUAAGUCCUUUGUGGAUGUUUCUCAAUCUUCCUCUUUAAUUGAUUGAUGUUAG
rnacentral:lncRNA from 1 species